AUAAUGGGUCAGCGACUUAUAUUCUGUAGCAAGGUUAACCGAAUAGGGGAGCCGAAGGGAAACCGAGUCUUAACUGGGCGUUAAGUUGCAGGGUAUAGACCCGAAACCCGGUGAUCUAGCCAUGGGCAGGUUGAAGGUUGGGUAACACUAACUGGAGGACCGAACCGACUAAUGUUGAAAAAUUAGCGGAUGACUUGUGGCUGGGGGUGAAAGGCCAAUCAAACCGGGAGAUAGCUGGUUCUCCCCGAAAGCUAUUUAGGUAGCGCCUCGUGAAUUCAUCUCCGGGGGUAGAGCACUGUUUCGGCAAGGGGGUCAUCCCGACUUACCAACCCGAUGCAAACUGCGAAUACCGGAGAAUGUUAUCACGGGAGACACACGGCGGGUGCUAACGUCCGUCGUGAAGAGGGAAACAACCCAGACCGCCAGCUAAGGUCCCAAAGUCAUGGUUAAGUGGGAAACGAUGUGGGAAGGCCCAGACAGCCAGGAUGUUGGCUUAGAAGCAGCCAUCAUUUAAAGAAAGCGUAAUAGCUCACUGGUCGAGUCGGCCUGCGCGGAAGAUGUAACGGGGCUAAACCAUGCACCGAAGCUGCGGCAGCGACGCUUAUGCGUUGUUGGGUAGGGGAGCGUUCUGUAAGCCUGCGAAGGUGUGCUGUGAGGCAUGCUGGAGGUAUCAGAAGUGCGAAUGCUGACAUAAGUAACGAUAAAGCGGGUGAAAAGCCCGCUCGCCGGAAGACCAAGGGUUCCUGUCCAACGUUAAUCGGGGCAGGGUGAGUCGACCCCUAAGGCGAGGCCGAAAGGCGUAGUCGAUGGGAAACAGGUUAAUAUUCCUGUACUUGGUGUUACUGCGAAGGGGGGACGGAGAAGGCUAUGUUGGCCGGGCGACGGUUGUCCCGGUUUAAGCGUGUAGGCUGGUUUUCCAGGCAAAUCCGGAAAAUCAAGGCUGAGGCGUGAUGACGAGGCACUACGGUGCUGAAGCAACAAAUGCCCUGCUUCCAGGAAAAGCCUCUAAGCAUCAGGUAACAUCAAAUCGUACCCCAAACCGACACAGGUGGUCAGGUAGAGAAUACCAAGGCGCUUGAGAGAACUCGGGUGAAGGAACUAGGCAAAAUGGUGCCGUAACUUCGGGAGAAGGCACGCUGAUAUGUAGGUGAAGUCCCUCGCGGAUGGAGCUGAAAUCAGUCGAAGAUACCAGCUGGCUGCAACUGUUUAUUAAAAACACAGCACUGUGCAAACACGAAAGUGGACGUAUACGGUGUGACGCCUGCCCGGUGCCGGAAGGUUAAUUGAUGGGGUCAGCGCAAGCGAAGCUCUUGAUCGAAGCCCCGGUAAACGGCGGCCGUAACUAUAACGGUCCUAAGGUAGCGAAAUUCCUUGUCGGGUAAGUUCCGACCUGCACGAAUGGCGUAAUGAUGGCCAGGCUGUCUCCACCCGAGACUCAGUGAAAUUGAACUCGCUGUGAAGAUGCAGUGUACCCGCGGCAAGACGGAAAGACCCCGUGAACCUUUACUAUAGCUUGACACUGAACAUUGAGCCUUGAUGUGUAGGAUAGGUGGGAGGCUUGGAAGUGUGGACGCCAGUCUGCAUGGAGCCGACCUUGAAAUACCACCCUUUAAUGUUUGAUGUUCUAACGUUGACCCGUAAUCCGGGUUGCGGACAGUGUCUGGUGGGUAGUUUGACUGGGGCGGUCUCCUCCUAAAGAGUAACGGAGGAGCACGAAGGUUGGCUAAUCCUGGUCGGACAUCAGGAGGUUAGUGCAAUGGCAUAAGCCAGCUUGACUGCGAGCGUGACGGCGCGAGCAGGUGCGAAAGCAGGUCAUAGUGAUCCGGUGGUUCUGAAUGGAAGGGCCAUCGCUCAACGGAUAAAAGGUACUCCGGGGAUAACAGGCUGAUACCGCCCAAGAGUUCAUAUCGACGGCGGUGUUUGGCACCUCGAUGUCGGCUCAUCACAUCCUGGGGCUGAAGUAGGUCCCAAGGGUAUGGCUGUUCGCCAUUUAAAGUGGUACGCGAGCUGGGUUUAGAACGUCGUGAGACAGUUCGGUCCCUAUCUGCCGUGGGCGCUGGAGAACUGAGGGGGGCUGCUCCUAGUACGAGAGGACCGGAGUGGACGCAUCACUGGUGUUCGGGUUGUCAUGCCAAUGGCACUGCCCGGUAGCUAAAUGCGGAAGAGAUAAGUGCUGAAAGCAUCUAAGCACGAAACUUGCCCCGAGAUGAGUUCUCCCUGACUCCUUGAGAGUCCUGAAGGAACGUUGAAG
rnacentral:rRNA from 1 species